rnacentral:rRNA from 1 species
AGAGUUUGAUCCUGGCUCAGGACGAACGCUGGCGGCGUGCUUACCAUGCAGUCGAGCGGUAAGGCCCUUCGGGGUACACGAGCGGCGAACGGGUGAGUAACACGUGGGUGAUCUGCCCUGCACUUCGGGAUAAGCCUGGGAAACUGGGUCUAAUACCGGAUAUGACCUCCGAUCGCAUGGUUGGUGGUGGAAAGAUUUAUCGGUGCAGGAUGGGCCCGCGGCCUAUCAGCUUGUUGGUGGGGUAAUGGCCUACCAAGGCGACGACGGGUAGCCGACCUGAGAGGGUGACCGGCCACACUGGGACUGAGACACGGCCCAGACUCCUACGGGAGGCAGCAGUGGGGAAUAUUGCACAAUGGGCGAAAGCCUGAUGCAGCGACGCCGCGUGAGGGACGACGGCCUUCGGGUUGUAAACCUCUUUCAGCAGGGACGAAGCGCAAGUGACGGUACCUGCAGAAGAAGCACCGGCUAACUACGUGCCAGCAGCCGCGGUAAUACGUAGGGUGCAAGCGUUGUCCGGAAUUACUGGGCGUAAAGAGUUCGUAGGCGGUUUGUCACGUCGUUUGUGAAAACUCACAGCUCAACUGUGAGCCUGCAGGCGAUACGGGCAGACUUGAGUACUGCAGGGGAGACUGGAAUUCCUGGUGUAGCGGUGAAAUGCGCAGAUAUCAGGAGGAACACCGGUGGCGAAGGCGGGUCUCUGGGCAGUAACUGACGCUGAGGAACGAAAGCGUGGGUAGCGAACAGGAUUAGAUACCCUGGUAGUCCACGCCGUAAACGGUGGGCGCUAGGUGUGGGUUCCUUCCACGGAAUCCGUGCCGUAGCUAACGCAUUAAGCGCCCCGCCUGGGGAGUACGGCCGCAAGGCUAAAACUCAAAGGAAUUGACGG